GCCUGGGUGGCUCAGUGGUUGGGCAUCUGCCUUCAGCUCAGGUUGUAAUCCUGGGGUCCUGGGUUCGAGUCCCAGUUGGGCU
rnacentral:tRNA from 1 species